CUUCGCUCUGUUCAGCCCGGCGAGUUCCAGGAAGCCCCAAAGUUAGAGUCAGAGUCCAAAAUUCAAUAGUCUAGAUCCUGAGGAAGGAAUACAGACAAUAGCCAUGUAGUCCUCCAGAUAAGUGACUAUUCACAAACUGAGAUCCUCCUCUGCUCCCAGCAUGGACAAAGGGGCCAGGGUGCCUGGAAGAGGGUCAUAAACAGCUCGGGCAGCACUGGAAGGAAACAGGCAGGAUGGCUCCAUCUGAGGGGAAAGAGGGCCUUUGUGAGACUGGCAUUUACAGACUGUUCUCGGCAUUGGGUGAAGAAACAGCUCCAGUGGGCCCGGGAGGGGAGAUUCUGGGUGUCCAGCUCCAGGCAUAAUGAGAAAAACAGGCAUGAACAGAAUCAUCUUUAAAUGACACCUUUCUCUGAGUUACUUCGGGAUCAAAAAUCAGACAAGACUAAGGAACAGUAAACACUUCCCUGCAACAGAUAAAGAAACUAAGAGAGAAAUCAGGUAACUGAGUUCAGUGACACAGUGAGUCAGUCAUGCCUCUGGCCGCCUGGCUUCUUGUAGCCGGGCCUGUAAUGUAGUUGUUGAUUUUCACCUUGUAAAUUUACCACUAAACUAUGUAAAAAUGGCCAUUCCCCGCUGU